UGAAUUUUGGUUAAUCCCUUUUACUGAAAAUGUCGAUCCUAAUUCACCUCACUCGAACCUUCUCUCGAGCUUCCGUCUCUCACAUCCCAAAUUCACCUCACUUCACCUCUUCUCUCUUAAACCUUCACUCCACCUUGUGUUUCUUCUCCUUAGAAAAUCAAUCUCUUUCACUUAAAUCCUUAAAACCCUAGUCUCCACUAUGCAUGUCUAUUUCGCGUUGGCCUUAUCCUGAAACCCUAGCCUUCACCGUGUAGAGAUGGUGGGAACGACAGUGGCGAGGCUGCAGGGGAUGCGGAGAGGAAGCAGGUGGUCUAGGAGGCGUUCCUUCCCCUGGUGCUGGUUCUCAAUUGGGGCUUCUUCGAACACCACCGUCUUCUACGCUCUCUUCUACAUGGCCUUGGAUAUAAAGAGAUGGAUGAAGUGAAAGUUUUGGCAAAUGAGUUUUUUCCUAAGUUCACUUCAAAGAUAAUCAUUGUCUGUGCUCUGGAAUUAGUCGGGGUCAGUUUCAAUUAGUAUGUCUCUCUUCCAGUCACUAACAGCCAGAUUUUCUGGUUCGGGGAUUUGAAUUAUCGGAUCAAUAUGUUGGAUGUUGAGGUUAGAAAAUUGGUGGCUCUAAGAAGUGGAAUGAGUUGAUGAAUUAUGACCAUCUAAGCAAAGAAUUGCGUAUCGGGCAUGUGUUUGAUGGAUGGAAAGAGGAGUUUAUUUCAAAGUAACUUGUCAGGUGCAUGUAAUAUUGUCUCUUUUCACUAUUAACUUUAUCUU